rnacentral:lncRNA from 1 species
AAUCGGACAUAGAAGACGGUCUCCAUGUUCUAAGGUAUGAAACUUACCUUUAAUAUGUCUCUCAUUUUUCUUGAUUUUGGUCUCUGCAUUAUUAGAUAAUAUAAUGUAUCACAUGAAAAUUGACGAGGGUCAUAAAUGUCUAGCAUGUAUUGUUUGCAUCAGACGGUUUUGGUUGAGCUUUAGUGGUGGAGUAGCAAUUCUAUUCUGAAUUUAUUGCCUUUAAACCUUCAUGCUCUAGAGUACUGUAGAUCAGGUGGACCUCAAUAGGGAUCUUCUCUUUUCCCGUGACACAUUUCUGUUUUUGAGGCGAUCUCUUUUUCUCAAUCUGACCAUUUAUAUCUACUGAUUGUUGAACCCAAAAAAAAAACUUUAAAAUAUCUAUUGAUUGUGUUCGCCAUGUCCAGUGGUUUAACAUUUUUAAAGCUUCGCCUUUAUGCAUUCUAAGCUAACAUACUAUUAUGUGUUAAUUACUGCCACCAUCUUAAUGGUUUAGUGAGAGCAUUCUUCGUUUUGCCUGCGUGCUUAUCCCGAUUUCUUGCAUUUGUUUACUUUCUCACCAUAUUUUUGUUGCUACUUUUAUUUUGGUCUCAUGUUUUUCAUAUGCAUUAGUUAGAUCUGCUGGUUUAUACUGAUAUGAUAUUGUAGCUUUCUUUGGAUGAAGUUCAUUAUUUUGACAGUAGUUGAUUUAUAUUUUCUGUUAGUAGAAUUCAAAUAUAUUACUAAGUUGCGUUGUAAAUUGGCAUUAUGGAACUACUGAAUUCUGGAACAUAUUUUCCUGCAGAAAUAUGCUUGCUCUUCAAUACAUAUUUUAGGAAUAUACUAAAAUAUAUGAGAUACAAAUUCAUUACAAAUACGUAAAACUCUACGCAAGAACACUAGCCAAAUAUCUAUAUUCAUGUUUUUAGUAAUAGGAAUCUCUAUAUCUAGACAACAAGACACACUUCUCUGUUACGAGUACAGUUGUUUGGCUCUGCAAUUAGUUUCAACAAACCUGCACAUUAACUUAAGAUGCUAUCUUCCAAUUGCUUAAAUGUCUCUCAAAUUAGUAGCUCUUGCCACUUGCUUACCCCAAAGAAAACCAUUGUUGAUGCACCACUUUGACAAUGUAAUAGGAGUGCAGCAAACGAAAUCAUUAUCAAAGUUGGAUAGGCUAUAGGCAAGUUCUUAAGUAAUUGAGUCUAUUCUCCAGAUUCGGGUCCCUUUGGAGGAUGUGGAGUAGGCGGGGGAAGAUGUAGCAACAUUAUAUAAGGAAGAGCCUAUAGGUGAAAACAAGAUAUUUCAUAAGCUUAGUUUCUUUAAUUAUCUCACCAAUACAUUUGACUUAUCAUGUGACCAAGGAAAAUAUAGAAAUUUUUCCUUGUAAGAUGAUGUUGUCAUAACAUGAUUGCACAUAAUAGGAGUCUCACUAUAAUAGCAUCGUGUAACUGUAUACUUUUUGGGUUUUGUAUUAUGGUUAUGAUUCUUUACAUUUAUCUUAUGCUUACAUAUCUAACAUCAUCAGCUGUUUGAAGAAGUCCAGCUGUUAAAAAGUUAAAAUUUCUUUGGCAUUGUUGAAAAUUGAGCAGAAAAAUUUCAAUUUUAUAUUACUUUUAAGUUCUUCCAUAUUGAUUCCCUUAAGUUAAAUUUAGUUAUUUUUACAAUAAAAAAGUUAAUAUUGUGCUUGCUAUCACUAAAUAAAUUCAGCGUCUGAGAAAAAAAGAAGAAGAAAUGAAGAAGAAUAUGGAGAAAUGAUCUUGGCAAAAGGGUACUAACAGGAGAAGCUUUACAAAGAGUUUAAUGGUAAGUUGUUUCUGUCAUGCACAAGGAAUCAUCUAUAUGGUUUUAUUUUAUGCUCUAUAAAUAUGAAGGUGUUAUGUAGUAGCUAAAGAAUGAUUUAGUUUUGAUGAUGUUUUGCCGCAUAUCUUUAUAAUAUAUUAGUUGCCUCUAUAUUUAAUGAAAACUCAUUAGAUGUUAAAGAAUUUUCUAGAACAUAAAAUCAGUGAACAUUAACUCCUACAGUAGUGUUAUUUUUUGAGUCUUCUAGGCUAUUUCAUGUCUUAAAAAUGUUCCCUAAGUUCCAACAGUUGUAAAUUGUUCGAUCUGAUAAGUCUCUUCAAGUACUAAUAUUAUUGACAGAAAGGACAAAGUGAGACAACUGACUAUAUUUUAUCUCAUGAUAAAUGAGAAGAACUAACAAUGAAAUUCAUUGUAGAUGUUGUAUUGCCGAAACAAAGAUUGUAGGUAAAGUGACAUACUGAUGAUACGAAAGCAUUUACUAAUUAAAUAUGACAAAAUGAGGAUAUUAAUUUUAGUGCGAUCAAAAUGUAAGACAGUAUAAAGGAGGAAUCAACUCCUAAUUUUCAGUUAGUAGAAAGAUUCCUUGCAAGAUAUUCAUGGGUUUUAUGACUUCUUAAAAUACCUAAGUUAUAAUAUAUUAAGGGAAGAAGUAGUUUCUCCUUUCCUUCUACAACUCAAAGUUACUUUUCAGUGUACUUGAUAUUUUCUAUUUUUUUUGCAAUUAAAGUUCCUUUUAUUAUGAAUAAUGAUUGGUGAAGUUUCUACAGAAGAGAAUCAAGUAUAAAUUAUGUUCUCUGCUUUUUGGUUGUUAUGACAUUUUCAAUUCGAAUAAUUCCACAAGCAAGUUACCAAAGGUAUUUACACAAAUGGAUCUGUGAGUGUGAUUUCUGUGAAAUGCAUUUGCACUAUUUAUUUAAUGAGACAUUUAUAUGGAGAAAUGAUCUUGGCAAAAGGGUACUAACAGGAGAAGCUUUACAAAGAGUUUAAUGGUAAGUUGUUUCUGUCAUGCACAAGGAAUCAUCUAUAUGGUUUUAUUUUAUGCUCUAUAAAUAUGAAGGUGUUAUGUAGUAGCUAAAGAAUGAUUUAGUUUUGAUGAUGUUUUGCCGCAUAUCUUUAUAAUAUAUUAGUUGCCUCUAUAUUUAAUGAAAACUCAUUAGAUGUUAAAGAAUUUUCUAGAACAUAAAAUCAGUGAACAUUAACUCCUACAGUAGUGUUAUUUUUUGAGUCUUCUAGGCUAUUUCAUGUCUUAAAAAUGUUCCCUAAGUUCCAACAGUUGUAAAUUGUUCGAUCUGAUAAGUCUCUUCAAGUACUAAUAUUAUUGACAGAAAGGACAAAGUGAGACAACUGACUAUAUUUUAUCUCAUGAUAAAUGAGAAGAACUAACAAUGAAAUUCAUUGUAGAUGUUGUAUUGCCGAAACAAAGAUUGUAGGUAAAGUGACAUACUGAUGAUACGAAAGCAUUUACUAAUUAAAUAUGACAAAAUGAGGAUAUUAAUUUUAGUGCGAUCAAAAUGUAAGACAGUAUAAAGGAGGAAUCAACUCCUAAUUUUCAGUUAGUAGAAAGAUUCCUUGCAAGAUAUUCAUGGGUUUUAUGACUUCUUAAAAUACCUAAGUUAUAAUAUAUUAAGGGAAGAAGUAGUUUCUCCUUUCCUUCUACAACUCAAAGUUACUUUUCAGUGUACUUGAUAUUUUCUAAUUUUUUUGCAAUUAAAGUUCCUUUUAUUAUGAAUAAUGAUUGGUGAAGUUUCUACAGAAGAGAAUCAAGUAUAAAUUAUGUUCUCUGCUUUUUGGUUGUUAUGACAUUUUCAAUUCGAAUAAUUCCACAAGCAAGUUACCAAAGGUAUUUACACAAAUGGAUCUGUGAGUGUGAUUUCUGUGAAAUGCAUUUGCACUAUUUAUUUAAUGAGACAUUUGCCGAGUCUUCUUCAUAGUAGUAUUUGAUUUGAGUAAUGUGAACAAAAUAUUAAGGAAGAUGAUAAGUUUAUACCGUUAACAAUUAAGGUUUGCCUAUUGUGCUUCAGGUUCUUUGUCAAAAUCUUAGCUUGUGACAACAAUGCAGGGAGGAAUUUUGAAUGGAUGGAUUUUUCUUUGCAUCAACUAUAGAAUAUUUAUUUAGUUUUUGAGUUCCUCUUUAUUUAACUAGAACUACAGUGAUUACAAUAUUCAAUUUUUAUAUGUUAUGUAUUAUGUAAUGACAAUUAAAAUGUUUUUGAUACAGGUGUUCAAAAGUCAUUUUUUCUGCAUUGGAAAUUAAAAAAAGGUCAAAACACAAAUAUACGUGUUGGGCCCGUGCUGGCACGGGCCAUGCCCAUCUAGUGUACCUAAAAGGGAUGGAGCUAGUACAUAAAGAAGAAAAGGCUUUACGGCCCAUCGGCCC